rnacentral:lncRNA from 1 species
AACAUAAGUUCAGUUUACAGAUGCACAGAGAAUAAAUGCCAUCUUACUUGCUCCACAUGCUCAUGUUCACUGGGCGUGAGAGUAAUGGCCACUUCCUCCUUGUUCAGAGUCCCGGUGGGCUUCUCGAUCCUAGGGUCAGAUUUAGGCUUUCGGCUGAAGAAGCUGAGGAAACUGAGGGCCUGCGACUGCUGCUUGGGUCUCUUCAUUGUACAGAGCUGGACAGUCCAGCCAAAACCAGCAUGAGCGGAUCGAGCCCCUUUUGUCUGCGUGUCUCUGUUUGUUGCUUAUGGUCUGAACACUGGCAAAGAGACCAUUGUGAGGAGGAAGGAAAAUCGUCCACAGCAGCGUUGCCUGAUCGAGGUCAUCAUUGUUUUCUUCUCAGUUCAGUUUUCCAAACACACCACAAAUGUUCAUCCCUGGAAAAAGGCAAAGCCAUGCACAAACAACAUCAGAGGAUUGUGAAGUGAAGUUGAUGCAUAUUCAAAAAGGUCUUUUGAGUACCAGUGGGCCUCGAUGAGGAGACAAAGCUCAAAUGUGUUUUGUAGCUUCUCUGGCCAUAAAGCGAAAUCCUGU